GAUAUGGUGGCUUAGUGGUUAGCACUGGCACCUUGCAUCUCCGGAGCUGGGGGUUCGAAUCCCACCUCCACCC